rnacentral:lncRNA from 1 species
UGCAUGUUUAAACAAGAGAUGUUGGAUUUUUUUUUAUUUAUUCAGAAAGUUCAUAGAAUUAUCUUUCCAUUGAUGUAUAGAUAUCUAUAUAACUAUGAAUAUCUGACUUCUGCAUGAUGGGUCCACUAUUACAUGCCCUGUUACAGAAUGACGUCACGUAAAAAACUGUUGAUUGCACCCUUAAGGGACAAAUACAAAAUAUUAGUGAUGUUUUAGCAUAGAAAUGUGUUUGCGAAUGGAGUAAAAUAAUUCUGAAAAAUAUUGUACGGCAUGUAUACAUUAAUUUAAAAGCAUCAGUUUGGUAUAUUUAAUGCAAAUAUUACAGAUUUGUACAUAGCAACCAGAUAUAAGAAAACCAGACUCUCAGUCUGUGCGAAUAUUGAUGUUUUUUAAUUUUUUGCGACGUCAUGAUAUUUUUAUUCAAUCUCUCAUAUAUU